UUCUGUUUUGUUACGAUUCAUUUCAAGGACACGGUUGAUGUAUAAAUGUUUCUAAAAUCAUAAAAAUAAAGCAGUAUCGCUGUGAACCCAGUGGACAGAAGGAUUACUACCAUUUCAAAAACUUAUUAAAAAAAUGUUCGCUAAAUUGAUCAUACUUUUCGCCGUGUUGGCUUUCGCUAUGGCUAGACCCCAGCUAUAUUCCGGUUAUGGAUACAACGGUUACUCGGCUGGCUACCCCGGGUACUACGGCGGUUACUCAGGCUACGCAAACCCGUUGGCUUACAGCGGCUAUGGGGCCUAUGCGGGGUCGCCUUACAGCUAUGGUUACGGUUAUUAUUAAAGAAAUUAUAGACUAGGGUUAAAUAACGAGCAAAACUUUAUAUAGUAUGAUUGUCAACUACGUUACAACAGUUUAUUGAAUGUAAGAUUAAAAGAAAAUUGCCUGAAAAAUAUUAUAUUGUGAUAUCU